UACAGAGGGGCAAGCGUUGUUCGGAAUUACUGGGCGUAAAGGGCGCGUAGGCGGCCUUCUAAGUCGAACGUGAAAUCCCCGGGCUCAACCCGGGAACUGCGUCCGAUACUGGAAGGCUUGAAUCCGGGAGAGGGAUGCGGAAUUCCGAGGUGUAGCGGUGAAAUGCGUAGAUAUCGAGAGGAACAUCGGUGGCGAAGGCGGCCUUCUGGACAGUGACUGACGCUGAGACGCGAAGCGUGGGAGCAAACAGGAUAGAU
rnacentral:rRNA from 1 species